GACUUACAGAGACCAAAGCUCCUGAAGUACCAUCAUUCUACCAUGGAUACUGUGAAGUGGUACCACCGUAAAUCCACGUCCUCUAACGUCAGUGGACUGUCAAACCCAGUCAGAGAUGGGUGGAGGUGAUCCGUAACAUUCCCUACAAAUUUUGGUGCCCAACGUGGGGCAUCCUUCACUGGCUGGAACACUGCUUGCUCAAAACUGCUGCACCUGAAAUCCUGGCCCUCUGACAAAAGGCCAGCAAAGGUAAGAAUUCUUAAUACUGUCAGUCUGCUGGAUCUCUGCCUGUGGGCAAGGUGAGAGUGGUAAGACUCUUUUCUUCCUCUUUUCCUCUCUAAAUUUAGACUGGCAGGAGAAAAUAUUUAUGUGAACU
rnacentral:lncRNA from 1 species